CCACGGGACAAUCUUCCAAGAAGAACUGCUGGGAAGAGACGGGAUCCACCUGACCAAAAGAGGGAAGAGCAUCUUUGCGGACAGGCUAGCUAACCUAGAGAGGAGGGCUUUAAACUAGGUUCGCUGGGGGAUGGAGACCAAAGCCCUGAGGUUUAUACUAGAGAAAGAUACACCUAAACUUUAGGAAACACUUAAUAAAAAAGCAAGCAUCAAAAGUAAAAGGGACCAGCAGCAUAAACAGGUGGUGGUUACAAACCGCUGAUGCCUGAUAACUUCUCUUCAGAACUACAUCACAGUGAUAAGGAAGAGAAAGGAGAGGGGAUCUUGUCUUUUUCUUACAAACCCCAACUAUCAUUUAAGUCCUGCUGAUAAUGAAAGAGGGAAGUUCUCGUUUCUCCUUUAGGAGACAUUCACCCAGACAAGACAGUAAGAAGCUUUUCAGGUCAGUUUAGUCAGUAAAACACUUGAUUGGGAAUCAGGGAGCCUGGAUUCCAUCCCCAACUCUGCUACCGACCCAUUGUGUGACCCCAGCAAGUCCCCUACCUAUUUACCUCUUUACUCUUUGUCAGUCUUGCUUAUUCAGACUGUACGUGGUUUUUUUGUGCAGGGUCCAUUCCUUAGCAUGUACUUGCAUAAAGUCUAGUGCCCCAAUCUCAGGUGUGACCUUCUGAUUGAAAUCACUAUGACUACUUGCCCUGUAUUACCAAUGCACUGUGAGGGCACAAAAUUGCCCUCUGAAAUGUCUUAUAGACUGACAAAUUUGAAUGACAAGUCUAGACUGUGAAUGAGGAGUUUUGGCACAAACUGGAAUUAAUUGUGACCCCUAUAUUUGGACUGUGCAUGUGGAUUUCAUAGUUUGCCACAUACUAUGUUUCUGAGUCUGAAAACUGAUGAUGCUACUGUGCUCCCCUAUCUCUCCCCACUUCUAUUGCUCUUUGUAGUCAAGAAUCUUAAAAAUAUGAGUAGGAUAGAAGCUGCUACACUGUAGUCUGCCUCUGCAGGUAAAGAGCAUAAGCAAUAGCUGAGAGAUGUGACAUGGUCCAUUCAUCUUCAUUUCAACUCUGAAACCUGGAGAAGACGAUUUAAAAGUCAGCAUUAACUCUUUCACUGCUGACCAUUUUAGCAGAAAGCAGUCAAUUCAUGUGGCAAUCCUACAAAAAGAAGACUGUAAAAAAAAUCAAGAUUAUAAAGAAAUCAAAAGGAAUUAUGGCACUGGGAAAAAUCCCAGCUCUGAGAAAAUUAGUCUUGUAACAGAAAGUUUCCCUCGGUUCCCAUCAAAAUGGAAGGAGUACUUGUUAUAAUACUAACAGAGUCCCAAUACAACAGCUGGGGCAACAACAGAGGUCACUUGCAAAGAGAUCUUUGGAGCUAGAGAAGCAGAAGAAAAGAAAAUCAUUGCUUUGUCAUCUAGUCUAAUCUGAUUAUAGUGGCAACAACCUUAUGACAGAAAAUAAAACCUCUGUGAGAGAUGAGGACUUAAAGCAGGUGGAGGAGGAAAAUAAAUAUUCUAGAGUAGAAUAAUCUUAAAAGAGCCCUUUCCCCAGAGCUACUACAUAUUACUAUGGUUUUAUUGUCAUUGAUAUUACUCUCAAAAUAUGGCCGCUAUACAUUUUUAAAAAAUUGUCAUUAAGAACUGAAUAUCUGUUCCAUUAGGGACUUGAAUGGGAAUGAUAGCUGGAUCUUAGAGAAAGCCUUGUAGCCACAGGCAAUGAGGAAUUAAAUCUGACAUCGCAUCCUAUAAGACCGCUAACUUUAAAACACCUGUUCUAUGGAAUUCAGGGUACUAGGAUGGCUGAGGGAAAUGCAGGGAGGCUGGCGUCAUAUCCCCUGGACUUCCCUUUACAAGCAGAGACAUUCUGGCAACAUGAAACAGAAAGAUGUUUUCACAGAGACUUGCAGAAAAAGGCCGCAGAAGAGCCAGUGGACAAUCUUAUGCUUUUCCUUUUCUAUGCACAUUACACUGGCUAUGAGUAG